CCUACGGGUGGCUGCAGUCGAGGAUCUUCGGCAAUGGACGCAAGUCUGACCGAGCAACGCCGCGUGUGCGAUGAAGGCCUUCGGGUUGUAAAGCACUGUCGAGGGGAAACAAGCCGUAAGGUUGAGUGACCCCUGGAGGAAGCACGGGCUAAGUUCGUGCCAGCAGCCGCGGUAAGACGAACCGUGCAAACGUUAUUCGGAAUCACUGGGCUUAAAGGGCGCGUAGGCGGGUAAUCAAGUCAAUGGUGAAAGCCUCCAGCUUAACUGGAGAAGUGCCUUUGAUACUGAUUGUCUAGAGUGAGGUAGGGGCAUGUGGAACUUCCGGUGGAGCGGUGAAAUGCGUAGAUAUCGGAAGGAACGCCAGUGGCGAAAGCGAUGUGCUGGACCUUUUCUGACGCUGAGGCGCGAAAGCUAGGGGAUCAAACGGGAUUAGAUACCCUUGUAGUC
rnacentral:rRNA from 1 species